AUGAGAUAUAAGUACAGGAAAAACGGAUACAAAAAUAUAAUUAUACAAAACACAAUUUUUGCGAUUUAUAAUCUGAGGCACUGGAUUAAAAUAAAAAGCACUUUCCUCCUAAAUAGGGAACAAAAUCAUGCUUUUUUCCCCAGAAAGCACUGAUAAAGGAUUAAAAGCUCAUAAAUUCAAACUUACAACUGGCAAUACUGUUGCACAUACAAACUUUAAAUGCAUUGCUUCUGUACUUGAAUGCUAUUUUCAGAGGCAAGAGAUUUAAUCAUUUAAUUAUAAAGAACAGGAGGAAAGGAAAACAGUUAACCAAAAAAAGCUUUCUCCAAUGUCUAAUUUUCAAGGAAAAAUAAUUAUAUUGUAACAAUAUAAAUUUUGCUCCUGCCUCAAGAGACCGCAAAAGGCUAAAUAUCAUCGCUCCUAUGAGACAUAUUAGUAGUUUUAAUUGUUGAUUAAUGAUUUUUUUUUUUCUUUUGUUUUGCGAAAAAUUUGGUAAAAGGAAACUUGAUUCAAAAUCAAUAUGUUUUGUAUGAUUGCAAAGAUUCCUCAUUUUUCACAAUUUAAGUGAUGCCAAGAAAAUACUGUUACAAAACAAGUACACAUAAAGACAACUUAACCUUCAGCUAUUUUAAAAGAAAACUACUUAAAUGCACUAAGGUCCGGUCAGGAAUGAGAAUUUUAUGCUUGAAUAUUAAUUUAUACAUGGAGUAGAAGAUUCCAUUUGACUAUGAUUCCAUUUAUAAGAGACAUGUUCAAUUAUGACUUACUAUAUACUCAAGACAUGUCAAAAUGUAUAAAAUCAAGGAAAUUUAGCAGAUGAAACAAUGUUUCUCGAGCACAAAAAUUAUAGACAGUAGAUAAUUCAGAACAUAUGUAGGCACAUACUCAUUCCUAGAAAAACUAAAGGAAUGUAAAUUUUAACUGAUCUGACUUUCUUGGAAUUUCUGGUGCAAUCAGCAGUAGUAACAUUUAGAAAUUUGAGUUUUAUCUUCGUUUCAGAGAACCUCAUGGAAUGACAUUAAAAUAAAUAAAUUCAUUCAAUACAAAGGUAGUAAACAUGAAAACUAUAUAAAAUACAUAGCUCAAUGAAAUACAUCUAAAAAAUUGUAUUAACUUGACAUAAAAAAAAAUACUGCAUAACUUGGAUCAAUGUCCUAGUAAAAGGGAGUCAUAAUUAGUCCAUCAAUCUGAUAUCACACUGCCUCAUGGAACAAAUCAGUGUGAUGCCACUCUGACAUUAGUGUAACUAGUGUGAAGUUAGGGUGCUUGGUAGACAUCACAAUAAUCUUUUUUCCCCAGACAAAAGAAUGUAAUUCCACUUCAACAUUGCAGCAGAUUUAGAAUUAGAUUAGAUUUAGAUUAGAAUUUAGCAGAUUUCUCUUCCAGUUAUGCGCAAAAUUAGCAAAAUUGUGAGCAAAAACUGUGCAGUCCCACUCUGGUACAAAAUUGAAUUGUGUGAUUUAAUUUUGGAGCCUUGGAAUAGAGUUACUCUCCUUUGUCUGGGUAACAACGUAAUGUAACACAGCUUCAUGGAGCAAAGAGUGUGGAAUGAGAGUGAUGUCAUGAUAAGCCGCUUUUACUAGGGUUUUCCUUCAACUGAGAUCAAUAAAGAGUGGGCUACAAUGAGGGGGGGGGGAGAGGAUAAAAGACAUGAAAUAUGAGAACAUGGAGAUGAUUUCUAUCCUUUAAAGAUAGAAAAAGGAAUAAGUUACAGAAUGAUGCGAAAGUAUUUCAUAGAUCACUGGGAUUUUCCACAUUACAAUUACAUGAAAUGUUCACACUUUGAUGAGGAUGAUGCAUUUCAUCAUUUUACAUAUUGUGGAGCAUUGCCGCGGCAAUAUUGACAAGCCUUCAAGGUAUCAAAAUCGAAGAAAAUAAUUUUAAGUAUCCUGAAAUUAACUGAUAAAUAGUUUUUAGACUAAAGCAUCCUAUGAUAGUGAACAGAUAAGGUUUUUAAAAUGACAAAAAUAGAAUGAGUGGUCCAUUUUUUAAGGUAUUCAAAAUAAAAUUGGAUAUAUUCCAAGGCAUUAUUGAAAAUACAGCAUUACACCUACAAAUAUUUUAUCUCACAAGAAAAUAAUGUAAAUAAUAUGCCCCUUUCCCUGAAUAGAAAAAGAAACCAUAAAUGAAAACUAUCCACAAUAUGAGAGACAGGAUAUAGCAUUAAUGUACUCAAAAAUAUACCUGAGUGCGGUUUGUUGAUCACUUGCAUAUUCUGGAAAAAAGAGAAUGUAUCUCGCUACUUUAUCAAAAAAAUUGUGAUAGGAAACGUAACUCUUAACUGCUUGGAACCUUCGAGCCACAGGGUUACAUAAAUUAUCCAGUGUUCUCAAGCGGUUUCCAUUUAGUUUAAGAUGAGUCCCUCAACUUCCAAAUAGUAAGUCACCGGUCUAUCAUUGCAGAAAAUAUCUACAAAUGCACAUAAAUGGGAAAAAGGGGGAGAAGGAAAUAAGGAAAUAUAUUAAAUAUUAAAUUUUGUUAAACAGCAAAAGUCUGAACAUAUGACGAAACAAGAUACAUUCUGCUAUUUAAAGUUUAAGUACAGGGGUAUUUUGUUCUUCAGACUGUAACUUGUAUGAUUUUACUUGGUUUUUGAAAUUUCAAUAAUAGUAUAAAAUAGGAAAAGAUUUAAUUUCAAAAACUAUUAGCUUUCUAAACAAGGAGGAGUCAAGGAUAAGAUUAAAAUGUUUCUCUUUUUAAAACAAUUUCAAAACUAGUUUUUUAGAAAAAAAUUGUUCGGUAAACCUGUCAC
rnacentral:lncRNA from 1 species